rnacentral:rRNA from 1 species
GAUCCUGGCUCAGAUUGAACGCUGGCGGAAUGCUUUACACAUGCAAGUCGAACGGCAGCACGGACUUCGGUCUGGUGGCGAGUGGCGAACGGGUGAGUAACAUAUCGGAACGUAUCCAAUAAUGGGGGAUAACUAAUCGAAAGGUUGGCUAAUACCGCAUACGCCCUGAGGGGAAAGCGGGGGACCGUAAGGCCUCGCGCGAUUAGAGCGGCCGAUAUCUGAUUAGCUUGUUGGUGGGGUAAAAGCCCACCAAGGCGACGAUCAGUAGCUGGUCUGAGAGGACGAUCAGCCACACUGGGACUGAGACACGGCCCAGACUCCUACGGGAGGCAGCAGUGGGGAAUUUUGGACAAUGGGGGCAACCCUGAUCCAGCAAUGCCGCGUGAGUGAAGAAGGCCUUCGGGUUGUAAAGCUCUUUUGUCAGGGAAGAAACAGCAGCUCUAACACAGUCUGCGAAUGACGGUACCUGAAGAAUAAGCACCGGCUAACUACGUG